UACGUAGGGACCAAGCGUUGUUCGGAUUUACUGGGCGUAAAGGGCGCGUAGGCGGCAAUUCAAGUCAGCUGUGAAAUCUCCGGGCUUAACUCGGAACGGUCAGCUGAUACUGCUUUGCUAGAGUGCAGAAGGGGCAAUCGGAAUUCUUGGUGUAGCGGUGAAAUGCGUAGAUAUCAAGAGGAACACCUGAGGUGAAGACGGGUUGCUGGGCUGACACUGACGCUGAGACGCGAAAGCUAGGGUAGCAAACGGG
rnacentral:rRNA from 1 species